rnacentral:snRNA from 1 species
GUGCUCACUUCGGCAGCACAUAUACUAAAAUUGGAAUGAUAGAGAAGAUUAGCAUGGCCCCUGUGCAAGGAUGACACACAAAUUCAUGAAGCGUUCCACAUUUUU